UACGGAGGGGGCUAGCGUUGUUCGGAAUUACUGGGCGUAAAGCGCACGUAGGCGGCUUUGUAAGUUAGAGGUGAAAGCCCGGGGCUCAACUCCGGAAUUGACCUUUAAGACUGCAUCGCUAGAAUUGUGGAGAGGUAAGUGGAAUUCCGAGUGUAGAGGUGAAAUUCGAUAGAUAUUCGGAAGAACACCAGUGGCGAAGGCGACUUGACUGGACACAUAUUGACGCUG
rnacentral:rRNA from 1 species